UACGUAGGGGGGCUAGCGUUGUCCGGAAUCAUUGGGCGUAAAGAGCGUGUAGGCGGCCCGGUAAGUCCGCUGUGAAAGUCGGGGGGCUCAACCCUCGAAUGCCGGUGGAUACUGUCGGGCUAGAGUGCGGAAGAGGCGAGUGGAAUUCCUGGUGUAGCGGUGAAAUGCGCAGAUAUCAGGAGGAACACCUAUUGCGAAGGCAGCUCGCUGGGACGUAACUGACGCUGAGACGCGAAAGCGUGGGGAGCAAACAGG
rnacentral:rRNA from 1 species